rnacentral:rRNA from 1 species
GAUGAACGCUAGCGGGAGGCCUAACACAUGCAAGCCGAGCGGUAUUGUUUCUUCGGAAAUGAGAGAGCGGCGUACGGGUACGUAGCACGUGUGCAACCUGCCUUUAUCUGGGGGAUAGCCUUUCGAAAGGAAGAUUAAUACUCCAUAAUAUAUUGAACGGCAUCGUUUAAUAUUGAAAGCUCCGGCGGAUAGAGAUGGGCACGCGCAAGAUUAGCUAGUUGGUGAGGUAACGGCUCACCAAGGCGAUGAUCUUUAGGGGGCCUGAGAGGGUGAUCCCCCACACUGGUACUGAGACACGGACCAGACUCCUACGGGAGGCAGCAGUGAGGAAUAUUGGUCAAUGGGUGCAAGCCUGAACCAGCCAUCCCGCGUGAAGGACGACUGCCCUAUGGGUUGUAAACUUCUUUUGUAUAGGGAUAAACCUACCCUCGUGAGGGUAGCUGAAGGUACUAUACGAAUAAGCACCGGCUAACUCCGUGCCAGCAGCCGCCGUAA